GUGAGGAAUAUUGGUCAAUGGGCGCGAGCCUGAACCAGCCAAGUAGCGUGAGGGAUGACUGCCCUAUGGGUUGUAAACCUCUUUUGCAGGGGGGUAAAGUGGUUCACGUGUGGACCAUUGCAAGUACCCUGCGAAUAAGGAUCGGCUAACUCCGUGCCAGCAGCCGCGGUAAUACGGAGGAUCCGAGCGUUAUCCGGAUUUAUUGGGUUGAAAGGGAGCGUAGGCGGGGGUGUAAGUCAGCUGUGAAAUGCCGUGGCCCAACCAUGGAACUGCAGUUGAAACUGGACCUCUUGAGAGUACAUAAGGAAGGCGGAAUUCGUGGUGUAGCGGUGAAAUGCAUAGAUAUCACGAAGAACUCCGAUUGCGAAGGCAGCUUUCCGGGGUACAUCUGACGCUGAAGCUCGAAAGUGCGGGAAUCAAACAGGAUUAGAAACCCGAGUAGUCC
rnacentral:rRNA from 1 species